rnacentral:rRNA from 1 species
AGGGUGACAGCCCCGUACACAAAAGCGCAUGUGCUGUGAGCUCGAUGAGUAGGGCGGGACACGUGGUAUCCUGUCUGAAUAUGGGGGGACCAUCCUCCAAGGCUAAAUACUCCUGACUGACCGAUAGUGAACCAGUACCGUGAGGGAAAGGCGAAAAGAACCCCGGCGAGGGGAGUGAAAAAGAACCUGAAACCGUGUACGUACAAGCAGUGGGAGCACAGGUUUACCUGUGUGACUGCGUACCUUUUGUAUAAUGGGUCAGCGACUUAUAUUCUGUAGCAAGGUUAACCGUAUAGGGGAGCCGAAGGGAAACCGAGUCUUAACCGGGCGUUAAGUUGCAGGGUAUAGACCCGAAACCCGGUGAUCUAGCCAUGGGCAGGUUGAAGGUUGGGUAACACUAACUGGAGGACCGAACCGACUAAUGUUGAAAAAUUAGCGGAUGACCUGUGGCUGGGGGUGAAAGGCCAAUCAAACCGGGAGAUAGCUGGUUCUCCCCGAAAGCUAUUUAGGUAGCGCCUCGUGAAUUCAUCUCCGGGGGUAGAGCACUGUUUCGGCUAGGGGGCCAUCCCGGCUUACCAACCCGAUGCAAACUGCGAAUACCGGAGAAUGUUAUCACGGGAGACACACGGCGGGUGCUAACGUCCGUCGUGAAGAGGGAAACAACCCAGACCGCCAGCUAAGGUCCCAAAGUCAUGGUUAAGUGGGAAACGAUGUGGGAAGGCCCAGACAGCCAGGAUGUUGGCUUAGAAGCAGCCAUCAUUUAAAGAAAGCGUAAUAGCUCACUGGUCGAGUCGGCCUGCGCGGAAGAUGUAACGGGGCUAAACCAUGCACCGAAGCUGCGGCAGCGACGCUGAUGCGUUGUUGGGUAGGGGAGCGUUCUGUAAGCCUGCGAAGGUGGCCUGUGAGGGUUGCUGGAGGUAUCAGAAGUGCGAAUGCUGACAUAAGUAACGAUAAAGCGGGUGAAAAGCCCGCUCGCCGGAAGACCAAGGGUUCCUGUCCAACGUUAAUCGGGGCAGGGUGAGUCGACCCCUAAGGCGAGGCCGAAAGGCGUAGUCGAUGGGAAACGGGUUAAUAUUCCCGUACUUGGUGUUACUGCGAAGGGGGGACGGAGAAGGCUAUGUUGGCCGGGCGACGGUUGUCCCGGUUUAAGCGUGUAGGUGUGUGUUCCAGGUAAAUCCGGUUCACUUUAACACUGAGGCGUGACGACGAGGCACUACGGUGCUGAAGCAACAAAUGCCCUGCUUCCAGGAAAAGCCUCUAAGCAUCAGGUAACAUCAAAUCGUACCCCAAACCGACACAGGUGGUCAGGUAGAGAAUACCAAGGCGCUUGAGAGAACUCGGGUGAAGGAACUAGGCAAAAUGGUGCCGUAACUUCGGGAGAAGGCACGCUGACACGUAGGUGAAGUGAUUUACUCAUGGAGCUGAAGUCAGUCGAAGAUACCAGCUGGCUGCAACUGUUUAUUAAAAACACAGCACUGUGCAAACACGAAAGUGGACGUAUACGGUGUGACGCCUGCCCGGUGCCGGAAGGUUAAUUGAUGGGGUCAGCGCAAGCGAAGCUCCUGAUCGAAGCCCCGGUAAACGGCGGCCGUAACUAUAACGGUCCUAAGGUAGCGAAAUUCCUUGUCGGGUAAGUUCCGACCUGCACGAAUGGCGUAAUGAUGGCCAGGCUGUCUCCACCCGAGACUCAGUGAAAUUGAACUCGCUGUGAAGAUGCAGUGUACCCGCGGCAAGACGGAAAGACCCCGUGAACCUUUACUAUAGCUUGACACUGAACAUUGAGCCUUGAUGUGUAG